UUUAGACCUGAAUUUGAGAUGGAACACGGCACAUUUCAUUCACAGGAAGAGCCUCCAACAUGCUGCUCCCCAGCCUGCUGAGAAUAGUCACAGCCUCCAUCUGCCUUGGAGCCAGCAUGGCACAGAAGGUAACUCAAGCCCAACCUGCAAUUUCUAUGCCAGAGAAGGAGGCUGUGACCUUGGAUUGUGUAUACGAAGCCAGUGGUUAUACUUAUUAUCUAUUCUGGUACAAACAACCACCAAGUGGGGAAAUGAUUCUCCUUAUUUAUCAGGAGUCCUACAGUGAACAGAAUGCAACAGAGGGGCGGUAUUCUCUGAACUUCCAGAAACCAGACAGAUCCAUCAGCCUCACCAUCACAGCAUUACAACUCAGGGACUCAGCGGUGUAUUUCUGUGCUCUGAGAGACACCACAGUGAUGCGGCACCUGUGGGAGCCCCACAAAAACCUCAGAUCUCAGGCAUCCCCCAGCUAUGGACACCAGGGAGAGCGUGCCAAAGUUGCUUCAGCCUGUAGCGUCAAAGCCCAGAUCUGUCCUGGUGUAAAAGGGACUCUUAGGAAGCUUCCUUUGAAGGAUUUAGUAUCUUCCAGAGACUGA